AGGUUGGUUUGACUGACAGAGUGAAUAUGGCUUCCAAGAGUCUCUACUUCUUGCUCGCUAUUGCCAUUAUGGCUACACCAAAUUCUGCGAUCAUUGAUUGCGACUUACCGCUGCCGAUCAAUGCGGACUUGUGCGGAAUCGUACCCGGCGUUGGUGGAAAAUCUGGCGGAAUAGUUUCAACAGCUGGAAAGGCUCUAGGUUCUCUUCCUGUACCCGGAGUGGGCGGAGUAUUACCGACCGGAAAAUAAAACUAUGUUUCUUUACAUCGCAAAUUUUUUAUAUAUCGCUACGUUGUUUAUCGUUGAAGCACAAUGGGAAUUCAUUGAAUAAAUUGUGAAAUUUUGAGCAAACGGAAA